rnacentral:rRNA from 1 species
GUCUACGGCCAUACCAGUCUGAAAGACCCUGAUCUCGUCAGAUCUCAGAAGUCAUGCAGACUUGGGCCUGUUUAGUACUUGUAUGGGAGACCAACUAGGAACCUCAGGUGCCGUAAGCU